rnacentral:rRNA from 1 species
GACGAACGCUGGCGGCGUGCUUAACACAUGCAAGUCGAACGGAAAGGCCCUGCUUUUGUGGGGUGCUCGAGUGGCGAACGGGUGAGUAACACGUGAGUAACCUGCCCUUGACUUUGGGAUAACUUCAGGAAGCUGGGGCUAAUACCGGAUAGGAGCUCCUGCUGCAUGGUGGGGGUUGGAAAGUUUCGGCGGUUGGGGAUGGACUCGCGGCUUAUCAGCUUGUUGGUGGGGUAGUGGCUUACCAAGGCUUUGACGGGUAGCCGGCCUGAGAGGGUGACCGGCCACAUUGGGACUGAGAUACGGCCCAGACUCCUACGGGAGGCAGCAGUGGGGAAUAUUGCACAAUGGGCGGAGGCCUGAUGCAGCAACGCCGCGUGCGGGAUGACGGCCUUCGGGUUGUAAACCGCUUUCGCCUGUGACGAAGCGUGAGUGACGGUAAUGGGUAAAGAAGCACCGGCUAACUACGUG